UCCCUGGUGGCUAGAUGGUAAAGAGUCUGCCUGCAAUGUAGGAGACCUGGGUUCAAUCCCUGGGCUGGGAA
rnacentral:tRNA from 1 species